UCCUGGUGCGGAACGGAAGAGCACAGCAUCUUUGAAGUUGCCGAAGAUUAGACUGGGAGUGAGGGAUUCGACGCCGCGUCUCUUCCAGUAACUCACCUUGUAACUGAAUGGUGACUGAUUCAAGCGGAUAUUCCGCCGGCUUUAUAAAUGAUAACGAUGGCUCGCCUACUCCAUUCUAUCUAGAUAAAUGGACAUCCACCGAAGAAAGAAUCAAUCAAUUGUGAAAAAGCAAAGUACUUGGAAAGGAAAUUCCCAAAGCUACAUGGGUAUGUAAUGUACAGUUAAUAAUUAUCUACAUAAUCAAUGAAAUCGACAAUGUUAGUUUAAUCUCGUUAAAUUGGACGUGAUUUAUUCUUCGAUAUGAUAUAAUGUGUGUGCAUUUCAUAUUAAAAAUAUUCCCACAUAAACAAAAAGAUGUUUUUUAGAUUUCUAAAAGAUGUCUGUCUAUAUCUUGAGAUUCCAGCAAACGAGAAAUAAUUGAAAAAUAUUUAGGAUUAUUAAAUGGAACGAAAUUAAAUCAAGUUUUUGGAUUGUUUGAAUCCGUUUUCUAUCCGUAAUCCAUUUGAAUCAUUAAUUACGGAUUGACUAUUUGCUUUCUGUAUCUUAUUCAAUGUACAUAAAAGUAAAACGUGCGACCUAUUCAUUUGAAUCCGUAAUUGUGGAUUAGUUAUUUGCUUUUGAUAUCAUAUUUAAUGUACAAUGAAAUAAACGUGCGACCAAUUUGUUUGAAUCUG
rnacentral:lncRNA from 13 species